rnacentral:ribozyme from 1 species
UGUUUUUUUUUUUUUUUUUUUUUUUUAUAUUUUUUAUCUUUACUAGCAGCUUUUCCAGCAAGGAGGAGAUAGUUUACAAGAAGAUGC